GACGAACGCUGGUGGCGUGCCUAAUACAUGCAAGUUGAGCGAUGAAGAUUGGUGCUUGCACCAAUUUGAAGAGCAGCGAACGGGUGAGUAACGCGUGGGGAAUCUGCCUUUGAGCGGGGGACAACAUUUGGAAACGAAUGCUAAUACCGCAUAACAACUUUAAACAUAAGUUUUAAGUUUGAAAGAUGCAAUUGCAUCACUCAAAGAUGAUCCCGCGUUGUAUUAGCUAGUUGGUGAGGUAAAGGCUCACCAAGGCGAGGAUACAUAGCCGACCUGAGAGGGUGAUCGGCCACAUUGGGACUGAGACACGGCCCAAACUCCUACGGGAGGCAGCAGUAGGGAAUCUUCGGCAAUGGACGAAAGUCUGACCGAGCAACGCCGCGUGAGUGAAGAAGGUUUUCGGAUCGUAAAACUCUGUUGGUAGAGAAGAACGUUGGUGAGAGUGGAAAGCUCAUCAAGUGACGGUAACUACCCAGAAAGGGACGGCUAACUACGUG
rnacentral:rRNA from 1 species